AAGCAGCAGCUGAUAUUGCUAAACAAAUAAUGUUGGUGUUUUCGUUCGUUUUGUUUCUCAUUUCCAAGAGACUACAACGACGCAGUGUGCUAUAGCGAACAUGCCGUGCACCUGUACGACCACACCUUUAAUUACAACACGAAACCAGGUGACAGAGGAAAUGGCCCCAUUGUCCUUGGGAGAGGAAGUCGCCUGGAGCAGACCACUAGCUCACUUGAUUGAUGGAGACUGUG